AAAAAGGCAAACCCUAGGUUUCUAUGUCCAACUUUAACUGUCUAUUUUAUAUGAAAUUUUUUUAUAAUUCGUAUUUUCAUUGUUGUUAGAUGAUAAAAUAUGAUUAAUAUUUUAUGCGUGACUUGUCUUUUUAAUUUUUUUCAUAAUUUUUUCAAAUAAAACGGAUGGUCAAACGUUAAACACAGAAACCAGGGUUUGUCUUUUU
rfam:Oryza sativa Japonica Group DNA, chromosome 3, cultivar: Nipponbare, complete sequence.